rnacentral:rRNA from 1 species
AUUGAACGCUGGCGGCAGGCCUAACACAUGCAAGUCGAACGGUAGCACAGAGAGCUUGCUCUUGGGUGACGAGUGGCGGACGGGUGAGUAAUGUCUGGGAAACUGCCCGAUGGAGGGGGAUAACUACUGGAAACGGUAGCUAAUACCGCAUAACGUCGCAAGACCAAAGAGGGGGACCUUCGGGCCCCUUGCCAUCGGAUGUGCCCAGAUGGGAUUAGCUAGUAGGUGGGGUAACGGCUCACCUAGGCGACGAUCCCUAGGUGGUCUGAGAGGAUGACCAGCCACACUGGAACUGAGACACGGUCCAGACUCCUACGGGAGGCAGCAGUGGGGAAUAUUGCACAAUGGGCGCAAGCCUGAUGCAGCCAUGCCGCGUGUGUGAAGAAGGCCUUCGGGUUGUAAAGCACUUUCAGCGGGGAGGAAGGCGUUAAGGUUAAUAACCUUGGCGAUUGACGUUACCCACAGAAGAAGCACCGGCUAACUCCGUGCCAGCCGCCGCGGUAA